UGGGAACAGCUCAGGGUUUCAGAAAGGAAGCGUAACGUGAGCCCGGGAGUCAGGCGGCCCAGAAGAACGAGGAGAUUCCUAAAGAACAGGGCGCGACAGGCCUGCCGUCCUGCCCGCUGUUAACAGGGAGCCAACUGGGCUUAACUAAAAUACCAUCUCUUUCACAAAGCCUUCCCUGAUCCCUUAGAUGUGACCUCAUCACUUGCCUUGUCCUCUCAGCAGCUGGAGUGAGGCCAUGAAAGAUGAAAGCUGCGGAGCCAGGUGGCCUGAAUCCACUUAGUUUUGUGACCUUUGGCCUCUCAUUCCUGCAGCCUCUUCCGCCACGGAGCACAGGCUCCGGACGUGCAGGCCCAGCGGCCAUGGCUCACAGGCCCAGCCGCUCCGCGUCAUGUGGGAUCUUCCCGGACCGGGGCACGAACCCGUGUCCCUCGCAUCGGCAGGCGGACCCCCAACCAACUGCACCACCAGGGAAGCCCACAUCUGUAUCUUGAAAUAUACAAUGGAUUUACCUAAUAAAUGUUUAAUUACAUCAA